GACGAACGCUGGCGGCGUGCUUAACACAUGCAAGUCGAACGGCAAGGCCCUGCUUUUGUGGUGUGCUCGAGUGGCGAACGGGUGAGUAACACGUGAGUAACCUGCCCUUGACUUUGGGAUAACUUCAGGAAACUGGGGCUAAUACCGGAUCGGAGCUCCUGCUGCAUGGUGGGGGUUGGAAAGUUUCGGCGGUUGGGGAUGGACUCGCGGCUUAUCAGCUUGUUGGUGGGGUAGUGGCUUACCAAGGCUUUGACGGGUAGCCGGCCUGAGAGGGUGACCGGCGACAUUGGGACUGAGAUACGGCCCAGACUCCUACGGGAGGCAGCAGUGGGGAAUAUUGCACAAUGGGCGGAAGCCUGAUGCAGCAACGCCGCGGGCGGGAUGACGGCCUUCGGGUUGUAAACCGCUUGCGCCUGUGACGAAGCGUGAGUGACGGUAAUGGGUAAAGAAGCACCGGCUAAAUACGUG
rnacentral:rRNA from 1 species